rnacentral:rRNA from 1 species
CUGCAGCUCAAGUGGUGAUCAUUAUUAUUGGGCCUAAAACGUUCGUAGCCUGUCUUAUAAAUGCCUGGGUAAAUCGUGCCGCUUAACGGUACGAAUUUCGGGUAGACUGUAAGACUUGAGACCGGGUGAGGCUAGAGGUACUCCUGGGGUAGAGGUGAAAUUCUGUAAUCCUAGGGGGACCACCAGUGGCGAAGGCGUCUAGCUAGAACGGGUCUGACGGUGAGGAACGAAGCCCUGGGGCGCAAACCGGAUUAGAUACCCGAGUAGUCC